AUGAACAUGUUAGUAUCAUCUGUUAGGCAAUCACUCUGCCAAACUGCCAGAGAAUAGUUACUCAUGAUUGCUGAGGUUAGUUUCCACCAUGAAAUGUGAAUGGAAUGCCAAAAAGUUAAUGACUUUUGUUCUUUUUUAUAUAUUAUGGACCAAUCGCAAGAUUAAAAUUACAGUCAGUUUUCUUUGUUUUGGUUGCUUGUUGAGUCAUUCCAAAUGGAAUGCCAAAAAGUUUGACUUACUUUUGUUCUUUUUAUAUAUAAUGGACUGAUCGCAAGAGAGAAAUUACAGUCAGUUUUGUGUUGGCUGCAUGCUGAGUCAUUCCUAAUGUCUAUUUUUUUGCUUUGUUUUAGAUGUUUGGUGUGUUGCGAUUAUUACUAGUGAAGUUGCACUUGCUGACAGCCUCAAAUCUUCUGUUUUCUCAUGAAUUUUAGUUUAAUUUGGUUGAUCUUGUGGAAACUGAUAGAAUAUAUAUAUUGCCAACAAAAAUGCAAUUUUUUCCCUAGAUUCAAAGAAGGUUAACUGUCAAAGGUUAAUGGUUGUGUUUUCAUAUGGCUAUAAAUAAUGAAAUUUUUUCUAAAAUCACGGUCAAUGUUUUGAGUAUGUUUGAACUUCGUCCUUGAGAAAAAAACCAGAUUUUCAAUAAAAUAAGUUCUUGUUGAUAAGAAUCCAAUUUUCAAUGCAGUUUUGAAUUUUGUUUGAGUUUGUACCUCAGAUAUUUGAGUUGAAUUGCUUUUGGUAUUUGACAUUGUGACAUAUGGAGGAAAUUUUGUGCUUGUUGUCUAUUGAUUUUGUAUGAAACUGAAAUUCUUUGUGUGUCUAUUUUUCUAUUGAAGGAAUAGAAUUUGGAUCGUUAAAAAUGACGUUCUUAAUGGUUGUCAUGGUCUUAUGCAUACCUUACAUUGUGGGGCUGAUCUUUUGCAAUGGAGUCGAGAGACAAAUUUACAUUGUGGGGUAUAUUGGCUAUUUAUUCUUAUGCUGUUUAUGAUUAUCCUUGUGAUUUUUUGCUUCAGAAUGUUGAAGUGCAGGAUCAUGUGGUAGAGCAGCUAAGAAGGAGGAAUCUGUUGUGCUGUGUUAGGCAUUCAUGUAGUCUGAUUAGGAGUGCGACUCAAUGUUAAAUUGAUUAUUGUAAUUUUUUAAUCUGUUUAGUCUUUUUCUAGAGAACAGUUUAGUAGAUGUUUUUAGUUAAUGUGUAGAUAUCAUUCUUAUAAAGAAUUCAACCACAAAUAUUUUGUAGUAGUUAGGUUGUUGAUUAAUAUGGCUCAAAUGCCAUUU